AGAUUACCAUCCGAUAUAGUGUAACGGCUAUCACAUCACGCUUUCACCGUGGAGACCGGGGUUCGACUCCCCGUAUCGGAG
rnacentral:tRNA from 1 species